UACGUAGGGGGCAAGCGUUGUCCGGAAUCAUUGGGCGUAAAGCGCGUGUAGGCGGCUUGGUAAGUCUGCUCUGAAAGCCCGGGGCUCAACCCCGGGAGGCGGGUGGAUACUGUCAAGCUCGAGUCCGGAAGAGGAGUGUGGAAUUCCUGGUGUAGCGGUGAAAUGCGCAGAUAUCAGGAGGAACACCAGUUGCGAAGGCGGCUGACUGGACCCAUAUUGACGCUGAGGCUCGAAAGCAUGGGGAGCAAACAGG
rnacentral:rRNA from 1 species